GAUGAACGCUGGCGGCGUGCCUAAUACAUGCAAGUCGAGCGAGCGGACGAGAAGCUUGCUUCUCUGAUGUUAGCGGCGGACGGGUGAGUAACACGUGGAUAACCUACCUAUAAGACUGGGAUAACUUCGGGAAACCGGAGCUAAUACCGGAUAAUAUUUUGAACCGCAUGGUUCAAAAGUGAAAGACGGUCUUGCUGUCACUUAUAGAUGGAUCCGCGCUGCAUUAGCUAGUUGGUAAGGUAACGGCUUACCAAGGCAACGAUGCAUAGCCGACCUGAGAGGGUGAUCGGCCACACUGGAACUGAGACACGGUCCAGACUCCUACGGGAGGCAGCAGUAGGGAAUCUUCCGCAAUGGGCGAAAGCCUGACGGAGCAACGCCGCGUGAGUGAUGAAGGUCUUCGGAUCGUAAAACUCUGUUAUUAGGGAAGAACAUAUGUGUAAGUAACUGUGCACAUCUUGACGGUACCUAAUCAGAAAGCCACGGCUAACUACGUGCCAGCAGCCGCGGUAAUACGUAGGUGGCAAGCGUUAUCCGGAAUUAUUGGGCGUAAAGCGCGCGUAGGCGGUUUUUUAAGUCUGAUGUGAAAGCCCACGGCUCAACCGUGGAGGGUCAUUGGAAACUGGAAAACUUGAGUGCAGAAGAGGAAAGUGGAAUUCCAUGUGUAGCGGUGAAAUGCGCAGAGAUAUGGAGGAACACCAGUGGCGAAGGCGACUUUCUGGUCUGUAACUGACGCUGAUGUGCGAAAGCGUGGGGAUCAAACAGGAUUAGAUACCCUGGUAGUCCACGCCGUAAACGAUGAGUGCUAAGUGUUAGGGGGUUUCCGCCCCUUAGUGCUGCAGCUAACGCAUUAAGCACUCCGCCUGGGGAGUACGACCGCAAGGUUGAAACUCAAAGGAAUUGACGGGGACCCGCACAAGCGGUGGAGCAUGUGGUUUAAUUCGAAGCAACGCGAAGAACCUUACCAAAUCUUGACAUCCUUUGACAACUCUAGAGAUAGAGCUUUCCCCUUCGGGGGACAAAGUGACAGGUGGUGCAUGGUUGUCGUCAGCUCGUGUCGUGAGAUGUUGGGUUAAGUCCCGCAACGAGCGCAACCCUUAAGCUUAGUUGCCAUCAUUAAGUUGGGCACUCUAAGUUGACUGCCGGUGACAAACCGGAGGAAGGUGGGGAUGACGUCAAAUCAUCAUGCCCCUUAUGAUUUGGGCUACACACGUGCUACAAUGGACAAUACAGAGGGCAGCGAAACCGCGAGGUCAAGCAAAUCCCAUAAAGUUGUUCUCAGUUCGGAUUGUAGUCUGCAACUCGACUACAUGAAGCUGGAAUCGCUAGUAAUCGUAGAUCAGCAUGCUACGGUGAAUACGUUCCCGGGUCU
rnacentral:rRNA from 1 species